GAUGAACGCUGGCGGCGUGCCUAAUACAUGCAAGUCGAGCGAACAGACGAGGAGCUUGCUCCUCUGACGUUAGCGGCGGACGGGUGAGUAACACGUGGAUAACCUACCUAUAAGACUGGGAUAACUUCGGGAAACCGGAGCUAAUACCGGAUAAUAUAUUGAACCGCAUGGUUCAAUAGUAAAGACGGUUUUGCUGUCACUUAUAGAUGGAUCCGCGCCGCAUUAGCUAGUUGGUAAGGUAACGGCUUACCAAGGCAACGAUGCGUAGCCGACCUGAGAGGGUGAUCGGCCACACUGGAACUGAGACACGGUCCAGACUCCUACGGGAGGCAGCAGUAGGGAAUCUUCCGCAAUGGGCGAAAGCCUGACGGAGCAACGCCGCGUGAGUGAUGAAGGUCUUCGGAUCGUAAAACUCUGUUAUUAGGGAAGAACAAAUGUGUAAGUAACUAUGCACGUCUUGACGGUACCUAAUCAGAAAGCCACGGCUAACUACGUG
rnacentral:rRNA from 1 species